GGGAUACCUAAUGCGUUUAGGGUUUCAUUCAUAAUGCAUCCUCAUUGUCCGCCCCCAUCUUCCUUCCCCCUUCUCUCCAGAAACCCUAAAAUCGCAAGGCCGCCUCCCCGGUACAAACACACAUUCUUAUAAAAUCAGAAAGAUCUUCGGUGUAGUUGUAGUCGGUGGAAAAAAGAUCCAGGCAGUUUUUUUUGCUGAAUGUUUUCUUAGAUCUUUUAGGGUUUUUUGUUGUUUUGUUGUAGAUGAUGAUGGAGCGGUGGAGAUACACGAGCCAGAAGGAUGAAGCUUUGCAGAUCUGAGUUUUUAGCUACAUUCAAGAACGGUACAAAAACAUUCUUGCCUCAAAUUAGGAUGAUGAAGCUUCGGUGUAGUUGAAAUCAGAUGAAGAUGGCAAGCAAAACUUUGCGGAUCUAAGACUUUUUCUUUCUUUAAUAACUUUGCAGGAAACAAGCAGAGCUAGGGAAGAUGACAAGCCCGUAUCUGAUAGGUUUGCUUCGGUAUAGUUCCAAUCGGUUGAUGAAGAUGGAAAUCAGAUGAAGAUGGAGUGAUGGAGAUGACAAGCAAAACUUUGCAGAUCUGAGUUUUAUGGUUGUAAACCCUACAUAUUUUUUCGAAUCUUCUAAUUUGUUUUUGAAAUUUUUGAUUUUUUUCAGUUGUUUAGUGGAUGAUUGUGGCAUUAGGUUCACUUGAGAUGUGAUUUCUUGUAUGUUGAAGGCUAUGAUGAUCCAGCUCUCCGUUUUAGCAGGGUGCAAGUUAAGAAGCACGUGCAAUGCUCUUGAUGAAGGAUAGAGUUAGGGCCACUAUUAUCGGAAAGUUUGUUAAACAUGGAAUGAAUCGUUGUCCGAUUGGGCUAAGGCUUCCGGGUAGCCGUUUGAAGACGUCCUUAAACGCUAGAGAUUUAGAGAUUGAACUUGGGUUGCUACAAAUGCAGCAAAUGAUUGAUAAUUUAUCCACUAAUCUUUACAACAACAGAUUUGGGGAAAUGAAGCCCACUAAUCUGGAUGAUGUUUACGGUUCGCUCUCGGCAACAAAUUCAGCAGAACUCUAACCCGCUUAGAUCAUGUUUCGGGUUUGAUUCAUCGGCUACAGUGGCACAAGCGGUGAUGAACUCGAGGUCUGGUUUGUUCGCAAAACAACGUAGCCAGAGUUUCAUUGACCAUGGCGUCGGCAACCCGAGUCUCCGGUCAAUGACUCAAUCUUCCACUUAUUCGGAAUGGGGUUCGCCUGAUGGGAAACUAGAUUGGGUUUCAAUAGUGAGGAUUCUAACAAGCUUAGAAAGUCCGCAUCUUUCGGGUUCAGAAGUGGGAGUUCGGGUUCGCCUAUGAAGGCAAAUCACAAGCCGGAAAGACGCCUUUGUUUGCAACAAGCAAGAAUGUGAAUACCUCCCAAAUGUGUUGUAUAAACUCGAAGCAGAAUAGAAAGGCGCGUUUGCGUCAAUUUGGGUGGAUGAUGACGGGUAUGUUGCGGAGGGUCCGAAUGUGAAGGUGGGUUUCGUGACGCGUGAGGAAGAGCUUAUUUUUCCGUUCAUUGACAAGAUAUUAAGCGGGUGUACUGCGAAACGGCUUCUUGAAUUAGCUCCAAAGUUGGGUGAAAACAGGAGGUUGAAGAGUGUGACAGUUGGGAAUAUUACAGUUGAGGAAGCUAAACAAGCUGCUGAGAUGAUGUAUAUUGGAAGCACCCUUCCUGUAUUACCAAUUAUUGAAUGGGAUGAAAAGCCGAUUGGCGACGGGAAAGUUGAGGAAUUGACAAUGGCGUUAUCGGACCUCGUUUGGGAAGAUAUGGUGGCUGGUACGGAGACACACAGGAUCAAGGUCCCUUAUGUAUAAAAGAAACCCGAAUGGCCGAAUUUGUGGUCAAAGUUGGUGUUGUAUUUUGAAAUCAGAAUCUGAAUAGAAGUUAAGCUUUGUGUUUGCAAGUUCUCAAGUCAUGUUGCACAGAUCAUAAUCUAUAACUUAAAUAAAGUAUAAAUUGAAGAUAAAUUAAAAAAAAUAAAAAACUUAAUAAUUGCCCCCAAGCAGGAUUGAACUACAGACCUCCAGUUUACAGACCUCCACUUAAUAAUUGCCCCCAUACACAGGCUGCUUCCUAUCCAACCUUUGGGUUGCAUAUGUUUUUGCAACAUGUCAAACCUUCCCACAAUUUAUUUUCUUCAUUGACUAAGUGGCUUGAUUGGGUUGUUCAAAAUCGACCCAAAGACAUGAUUGCCAAUGGAUACGUGGCUUCCUAUUGCAUGGUUUAUGUUACAGAUCAAACCAUCCCACAUUUUUUUUAUUGAUCAAGUCAUCUCAGCUAGAAGUUAGACUAAAUGUGCUCAUUUUUUGCAGAUUCAACAACAAGAGUUUGGUUCUUUCAGUAGUUACUGCUAGCUUCAUUCUAAACAAGAAGCCAAUAAAGAACGGCCUCCAAAGCCAAAGCUCAGAAGCAAGGAUUUGAUUAAAAGGGGCUUCCAUUCUUGUCAUGUUGAGCCCAGAUGCUUGGUAUUGGUUUAACUUCUUAAUUAAAAUGCCUGGUUAGGCAACGGCUAGAGCCGAAUCUUAGCGACCCAGAGCUAAAUGCCUUGUUCUUAUUCUUUUGAUAUUGAAAUUGUUGGAUUCGUGUA